rnacentral:rRNA from 1 species
CGACCGGCGCACGGGUGCGUAACGCGUAUGCAACCUACCUUUAACAGGGGGAUAACACUGAGAAAUUGGUACUAAUACCCCAUAAUAUCAUAGAAGGCAUCUUUUAUGGUUGAAAAUUCCGAUGGUUAGAGAUGGGCAUGCGUUGUAUUAGCUAGUUGGUGGGGUAACGGCUCACCAAGGCGACGAUACAUAGGGGGACUGCGAGGUUAACCCCCCACACUGGUACUGAGACACGGACCAG